rnacentral:piRNA from 1 species
UGCUUGGCUUCUUGGCCCAUUGGGGUA